CACGUAGGCGGCUUGUUAAGUCGGAUGUGAAAGCCCCGGGCUCAACCUGGGAACUGCAUUCGAUACUGUCAGGCUAGAGUAUAGAAGAGGCAAGUGGAAUUCCGGGUGUAGCGGUGAAAUGCGUAGAUAUCCGGAGGAACAUCAGUGGCGAAGGCGACUUGCUGGUCUAAUACUGACGCUGAGGUGCGAAAGCGUGGGGAGCAAACG
rnacentral:rRNA from 1 species